UGGGGAAUCUUGCGCAAUGGGCGAAAGCCUGACGCAGCGACGCCGCGUGAGGUAAGAAGGCCUUCGGGUUGUAAACCUCUUUCAGCAGGGACGAAGCUACCCGUUUUAACAGCCCAGAGUGUGACUGUACCUGUAGAAGAAGCCCCGGCUAUCUACGUGCCAGCAGCCGCGGUAAUACGUAGGGGGCAAGCGUUGUCCGGAUUUACUGGGCGUAAAGAGCGUGUAGGCGGCCAAGCAGGUCUGUUGUGAAAACUGGAGGCUCAACCUCCAGACGUCGACAGAAACCGCUUGGCUAGAGUCCGGAAGAGGAGAGUGGAAUUCCUGGUGUAGCGGUGAAAUGCGCAGAUAUCAGGAAGAACACCAAUGGCGAAGGCAGCUCUCUAGGACGGUACUGACGCUGAGACGCGAAAGCGUGGGGAGCGAACAGG
rnacentral:rRNA from 1 species